rnacentral:rRNA from 1 species
UACGUAGGGUGCGAGCGUUGUCCGGAAUUAUUGGGCGUAAAGGGCUCGUAGGCGGUUUGUCACGUCGGGAGUGAAAACUCGGGGCUUAACCCCGAGCCUGCUUCCGAUACGGGCUGACUAGAGGUAUGCAGGGGAGAACGGAAUUCCUGGUGUAGCGGUGAAAUGCGCAGAUAUCAGGAGGAACACCGGUGGCGAAGGCGGUUCUCUGGGCAUUACCUGACGCUGAGGCUCGAAAGCGUGGGGAGCAAACAGG